GCCAGACUCCUACGGGAGGCAGCAGUGGGGAAUAUUGGGCAAUGGGCGCAAGCCUGACCCAGCAACGCCGCGUGAAGGAAGAAGGCUUUCGGGUUGUAAACUUCUUUUCUGGGGGACGAAGAAAGUGACGGUACCCCAGGAAUAAGCCACGGCUAACUACGUGCCAGCAGCCGCGGUAAUACGUAGGUGGCAAGCGUUAUCCGGAUUUAUUGGGUGUAAAGGGCGUGUAGGCGGGAAUGCAAGUCAGAUGUGAGAACUAUGGGCUCAACCCAUAGCCUGCAUUUGAAACUGUAUUUCUUGAGUGCUGGAGAGGCAAUCGGAAUUCCGUGUGUAGCGGUGAAAUGCGUAGAUAUACGGAGGAACACCAGUGGCGAAGGCGGAUUGCUGGACAGUAACUGACGCUGAGGCGCGAAAGCGUGGGGAGCAAACAGGAUUAGAUACCCCUGUACA
rnacentral:rRNA from 1 species